GACGAACGCUGGCGGCGUGCCUAAUAAAUGCAAGUCGAGCGGAUGGAAGGGAGCUUGCUCCCGGAAGUCAGCGGCGGACGGGUGAGUAACACGUGGGCAACCUGCCCUUGAGAUCGGGAUAACUUCGGGAAACCGGAGCUAAUACCGGAUAGGUUCUUCCCUCACAUGAGGGAAGAGGGAAAGACGGUUUCGGCUGUCACUCAAGGAUGGGCCCGCGGCGCAUUAGCUAGUUGGUGGGGUAACGGCUCACCAAGGCGACGAUGCGUAGCCGACCUGAGAGGGUGAUCGGCCACACUGGGACUGAGACACGGCCCAGACUCCUACGGGAGGCAGCAGUAGGGAAUCUUCCGCAAUGGACGAAAGUCUGACGGAGCAACGCCGCGUGAGUGAAGAAGGUUUUCGGAUCGUAAAACUCUGUUGUCAGGGAAGAACAAGUACCAUAGCAACUGAUGGUACCUUGACGGUACCUGACCAGACAGCCACGGCUAACUACGUGUCAGCCGCCGCGGUAACAC
rnacentral:rRNA from 1 species